rnacentral:rRNA from 1 species
GUAGGGAAUCUUCCACAAUGGACGAAAGUCUGAUAGAGCAACGCCGCGUGAACGAUGAAGGCUUUCGGGUCGUAAAGUUCUGUUGUAAGGGAAGAACAAGUGCCGCAGGCAAUGGCGGCACCUUGACGGUACCUUGCGAGAAAGCCACGGCUAACUACGUGCCAGCAGCCGCGGUAAUACGUAGGUGGCAAGCGUUGUCCGGAAUCAUUGGGCGUAAAGCGCGCGCAGGCGGUCCCUUAAGUCUGAUGUGAAAGCCCACGGCUCAACCGUGGAGGGUCAUUGGAAACUGGGGGACUUGAGUGCAGAAGAGGAAAGCGGAAUUCCAAGUGUAGCGGUGAAAUGCGUAGAGAUUUGGAGGAACACCAGUGGCGAAGGCGGCUUUCUGGUCUGUAACUGACGCUGAGGCGCGAAAGCGUGGGGAGCAAACAGGAUUAGAUACCCGGGUAGUCC